rnacentral:rRNA from 1 species
GUGCCAGCAGCCGCGGUAAUACCGGAGGGUGCCGAGCGUUAAUCGGAAUUACUGGGCGUAAAGCGCAUGCAGUUGGUUUGUUAAGUCAGAUGUGAAAGCCCGGGGCUCAACCUCGGAAUUGCAUUUGAAACUGGCAGGACUAGAGUACUGUAGAGGGGGGUAGAAUUUCAGGUGUAGCGGUGAAAUGCGUAGAGAUCUGAAGGAAUACCGGUGGCGAAGGCGGCCCCCUGGACAGAUACUGACACUCAGAUGCGAAAGCGUGGGGAGCAAACAGGAUUAGAUACCCUGGUAGUCC